AACGAACGCUGGCGGCAUGCCUAACACAUGCAAGUCGAACGAGACCUUCGGGUCUUGUGGCGCACGGGUGCGUAACGCGUGGGAACCUGCCCUUAGGUUCGGAAUAACUCUCCGAAAGGGGUGCUAAUACCGGAUAAUGUCUUCGGACCAAGGAUUUAUCGCCUUUGGAUGGGCCCGCGUUGGAUUAGCUUGUUGGUAGGGUAAAAGCCUAUCAAGGCGACGAUCCAUAGCUGGUCUGAGAGGAUGAUCAGCCACACUGAGACUGAGACACGGCCCAGACUCCUACGGGAGGCAGCAGAGGGGAAUAUUGGACAAUGGGCGAAGGCCUGGUCCAGCAAUGCCGCGUGAGUGAUGAAGGCCGGAGGGUUGUAAAGCGCUUGUACCCGGGAUGAUAAUGACAGUACCGGGAGAAUAAGCUCCGGCUAACUCCGUG
rnacentral:rRNA from 1 species